ACUCACGCAUUGUCGCGUUCAAUCUAUAAUGGCGCUGAUUUACUUAUAUAUAGAGGUAAAAGGCAGCGUAAAAUGUUUAGAGCAAAUUUUGGCAGUCUUUGGAGCCUUUUUUUAAUUGGCUAAAGCCUUAAAAUCCCUCUCUCAACAAUUAAAAAUAUCGUGGGAAAGCAAUUUGGGGAAGUAAGGUAGUAGUUGAUCGUUUUCUUUACACCCUGUGUUAUUUCCCAACGCAGAGAAGAUAUAUCAAUUGGUGCCACUACGCACAGUCAUGGUUGCACUUCUCAUCAUGCAAUUAGGCAGAACAGUUAAAUGGCUACAGUGUCAUUUACUGAAAGCUCAACAAAUACACUAGAUGGCAAUAUUUAGUCAGAAUAUACAAAGUCACAUUUAUCCAUUAAGAAUUACAAGUCUUUCUAUCCGUGGAUCCCUCUCACAGAAAGAAUUAAUAAUGUAAAUGCCAUCUUGAGGAUUUAUUGUCAUAAUAAACAAAUACAGUACUUAUGUACUGUAUGUUGAAUGUAUAUAUUCGUCCGAGUUUUAUUCAUUUUUUUCUUAACGCAUUGCCAAAAUGUAUAUGAUCGGGAAAAAUUAUCGGGAAUGAUUGGAAUUAAAUCGGGAGCAAAAAAAAAAAGCAAUCGGAUCGGGAAAUAUUGGGAUCGGCAGAUACUCAAACUAAAACGAUCGGGAUCGGAUCGGGAGCAAAAAAAACAUGAUCGGAACAACCCUAGUUAAUAGUAAAUAUUCUAGUAUAUAUUUUUUCAAAUUCUUAAAUUCAGCUGAAUUAUACAUGACAAAGUAUUUUUUGAAAAAUUAAUAGUAAUAACACAGUGGUAUGAAAAAGUGAACCUUUUGGAAUUUCUCACAUUUCUGCAUAAAAUCAAAUGUGAUAUGAUCUUUGUCAAAAUCACACAGAUGAAAAAACUGCUUUAAUUAAAACCACCCUAACUUUUAUAGGUUUUCGUAUUUUAAUUAGUAUGCAAAAAAUGACAGAAGGGGGAAAAAUAAGUGAACCAUCACAUUUAAUAUUUUGUGCCCCCCCUUUGGCAGGAAUAACUUCAUCCAGAUGCUUCCUGUAGCUGGCACAUCGAUCAGGACUAAUCUUGGCGUAAUCUUCCCUACAAAACUGCUGUAGUUCAGUCAGAUUCCUGGGAUGUCUGGCACGAAUUGCUGUCUGUAGGUCAUGCCACAGCAUCUCAAUCGGGUUCUAGUCUGGACUUUGACUUGGCCACUCCAGAACGUGUAUAACUGGUAUGUUCUUCUGAAACCAUUCUGAAGUUGAUUUACUUAUGUGUUUUGGAUCAUUGUGUUGUUGCAGUAUCCAUCCUCUUUAAAGCUUCAACUGUCUGACAGACCGCCUCAGGUUUUCCUGCAAAACAUCCUGAUAAACUUUUGACUUAAUUCUUUCAUUAAUGAUUGCAAGUUGUCCAAGGCCUGAGGCAGAAAAACAGCCCCAAAUCAUGAUGCUCCCCUCCAUCAAGCUUCGUGGUGGUUGAUGUUGGGUUCUUUUUUCCCUCUGAGUAUUCUGCGCUGAACUCUUGGCGUCAUCUUUGGUGGAAGGCCACUCGUUGGGAGAGAAGCAACAGUGCCAAAUUCUCUCCAUUUGUUGACAACUCAUCCGACUGUCAAAUGGUGAACAUCCAGACUUUUAGAGAUGGUUUUGUAUCCUUUCCCAGCUUUAUACAAAACAACAAUCCUUGAUCGCAGGUCUUCAGACAGCUUUUGAAAGAGCCAAGAUGCACAUCAGACAAUGCUUUUCAUCAAGACUAUUCUUACCAGGAUAGGUUCCUCUCCCAGGCAAGAGCUGCUCUUUGUUUCCCUAGGAAAAGCUUUGGAGAUGAAAGCCAGCAGGAAGCUAAUAACGUAGCCUCUCGUGUGGAAUUAGCUCACGUUUGAAGAGUCCACCCGAAUUCACCUGGGACCUUUAGUUGGAAUAACCCUGACUGGCAUUUAAAACAUGCUAUGUCUGCUCGAGCAGCAUGUGCUUCAUCAUUACCCAAUAUUCUUGGAUAGCCCGAUCCAACCAAUGGAUUGAACAUAACUUGGUCUUUUCCUGGUUAAAUUCGCAACAAUCGUCAGCUCAGCCUAGU